CACGUAGGGGGCAAGCGUUGUCCGGAUUUAUUGGGCGUAAAGAGCUCGUAGGCGGUUUCGUAAGUCGGGUGUGAAAACUCUAGGCUCAACCUAGAGACGCCACCCGAUACUGCGAUGACUAGAGUCCGGUAGGGGAGUGUGGAAUUCCUGGUGUAGCGGUGAAAUGCGCAGAUAUCAAGCGGAACACCGGUGGCGAAGGCGGCCUUCUGGACAGUGACUGACGCUGAGACGCGAAAGCGUGGGGAGCAAACAGG
rnacentral:rRNA from 1 species